UACGUAGGGUGCGAGCGUUGUCCGGAAUUAUUGGGCGUAAAGGGCUCGUAGGCGGUCUGUCGCGUCGGGAGUGAAAACUCAGGGCUUAACCCUGAGCCUGCUUCCGAUACGGGCAGACUAGAGGUAUGCAGGGGAGAACGGAAUUCCUGGUGUAGCGGUGGAAUGCGCAGAUAUCAGGAGGAACACCGGUGGCGAAGGCGGCUCUCUGGGUCUGUCCUGACGCUCAGGCGCGAAAGCUAGGGGAGCAAACAGG
rnacentral:rRNA from 1 species